AGUGCUCUCACGGCUUGCUUUUGAUCUCCACGCACUCAGAUGGAGACGGAGACGGAAGGGCGAGGAAGAGAAUGAACGAUAAUUACAGAGAAAGGCGGGUGUUUGCUUUGGAUUUCUCCCAGUUCCUCUUGCGGAAGAAGGGCGCAACCAGUGACCACAUUAAACCAGGCACAAACAGAAGCGCAUAGAAUGAGGAACACAGGAGUAAAAAGAGGAGGAGGGGGAGAGUCUGGUGAAGGAGAGGGACAGCUGCAUGUGUUUAGCUUGGCUCAGGCAUGUACUCACAUGCACCUUCUUUCUAGUGUUCCACUGUGUACAUCAAGCAAACCACAGCAACUACAUCACGGAUAGUGAUAAAUUAUACAUCCUACAGUGAAUGACAUGCAAAGGGCCAACUUGACUGACAUCAUGCUUGCUGGAAGCUAGCUGUUCUGGGACUCAAUAAAUAAAUAAAUAAAUAAAUAAAAAGUCUCUGAUUAGUUUACAAGUUCCCAAAGAAGCAUGACACAGUGUUCCUACAUUAGCUCAGCCUCUGAAAGUACAACGCUGAGGGAUUGUGGUCAGCUGGCUUGAAAUUUGACU